CAGAGGAGAAGAGAGGAGUUGAGCUCAGCUCCCAGGGAACAGAAGAGAGGAGGAACUCUCAGGAAGACAAACUUAAUAAAAACCUUCCAGAUAGCUGUAGGAGGCCCAGCCACUGAGGGGCCCAAGGGGACUGUGCACCAGAUUGAAGUGUCAUUGGGGUUCCAUUCCUGAAGGAUCACACGGCCUCCAGAAGUGCUGAGCAUCCUCAGCUCCCACUGACUAUACCCGAAGAGUUUUACACGCUCGGCCUCUGGACAAUGAUGAAGCAGAACUGAAAGUCUUUAUAAACGACCAGUGGGACACUCAAGCAAAAGCAAAUGCUGCCUCUUCAUUUAAAGUUGUAUUGCAAUUUAACAAUGUGAAGUGCGCCACUCCUCUUCCAUGUUGCCAUUAAAACCACAAAUCACUGAGACGCAGUAAGCAUGCCAUAGAGGAUUAUCGAAUGUCCCACUGAAAAAAGUUGAUGGCAAGGAGCCACUUCCCUA